AAUACGAGAUGCUACGGCAUUGUAGCAGUCUAUGUCAUACUUCCAAGAAAAGCUCGCAAUGUCAUAUACAAAAAAUGCCUGUACCAUAACCGACACAGGUGGGUAGGUAGAGUAUACUAAGGGGCGCGAGAUAACUCUCUCUAAGGAACUCGGCAAAAUGACUCCGUAACUUCGGGAGAAGGAGUGCCUUAUUUUAUAAGGUUGCAAUAACAAGAUCCAAGCAACUGUUUACCAAAAACACAGGUCUCCGCUAAGUCGUAAGACGAUGUAUGGGGGCUGACGCCCGCCCAGUGCCAGAAGGUUAAAGAAGUUGGUUAGUUUCGACGAAGCUGAUGACUGAAGCCCUGGUGAACGGCGGCCGUAACGAUAACGGUCCUAAGGUAGCGAAAUUCCUUGUCGGGUAAGUUCCGACCCGCACGAAAGGCGUAAUGAUUUGGAUACUGUCUCGGAGAGGGGCUCGGUGAAAUAGACUUGUCUGUGAAGAUGCGGACUACCUGCACCUGGACAGAAAGACCCUAUGAAGCUUUACUGUAACUUGAGAUUGAAAUUGGACUUUAUUUGCGCAGUAUAGGUGGGAGACGUUGAUAGUAUUCUUGCGGGAAUAUUGGAGUCAUCAGUGAGAUACCACUCUUGUAAUGUUAGAUUUCUAACUUUGUAUCAUUAUCUGGUCAAAGAACAGUCUCAGGCGGGCAGUUUGACUGGGGCGGUCGCCUCCCAAACGGUAACGGAGGCGCACAAAGGUUUCCUCUGAACGUGUAGAAAUCGUAUCUAGAGUGUAAAGGCAUAAGGAAGCUUGACUGUGAGACCUACAAGUCGAGCAGGGACGAAAGUCGGUCUUAGUGAUCUGACGGUGCUGAGUGGAAAGGCCGUCACUCAACGGAUAAAAGUUACUCUAGGAUAACAGGCUGAUCUCCCCCAAGAGUUCACAUCGACGGGGAGGUUUGGCACCUCGAUGUCGGCUCAUCGCAUCCUGGGGCGGUAGUACGUCCCAAGGGUUGGGCUGUUCGCCCAUGAAAGCGGUACGCGAGCUGGGUUCAGAACGUCGUGAGACAGUUCGGUCCAUAUCCGGUGUAGGCGUUAGAAUAUUGAGAGGAGCCUUCUUUAGUACGAGAGGACCGAGAAGGACAUACCUAUGGUGUACCAGUUAUCGUGCCAACGGUAAACGCUGGGUAGCUAUGUAUGGAGUGGAUAACCGCCGAAAGCAUCUAAGUGGGAAGCCCACCUUAAGAUAAGUAUUCUCAUGAAAAG
rnacentral:rRNA from 1 species